rnacentral:rRNA from 1 species
AUUGAACGCUGGCGGCAUGCUUUACACAUGCAAGUCGGACGGCAGCACAGAGAAGCUUGCUUCUUGGGUGGCGAGUGGCGAACGGGUGAGUAGCAUAUCGGAACGUACCGAGCAGUGGGGGAUAACUAAUCGAAAGAUUAGCUAAUACCGCAUAUCUUCUGAGGAAGAAAGCAGGGGGCCAUUUGGCCUUGCGCUGUUUGAGCGGCCGAUAUCUGAUUAGCUAGUUGGUGGGGUAAAGGCCUACCAAGGCGACGAUCAGUAGCGGGUCUGAGAGGAUGAUCCGCCACACUGGGACUGAGACACGGCCCAGACUCCUACGGGAGGCAGCAGUGGGGAAUUUUGGACAAUGGGCGCAAGCCUGAUCCAGCCAUGCCGCGUGUCUGAAGAAGGCCUUCGGGUUGUAAAGGACUUUUGUCAGGGAAGAAAAGGGCGGGGUUAAUACCCCUGUCUGAUGACGGUACCUGAAGAAUAAGCACCGGCUGACUACGUG